rnacentral:rRNA from 1 species
UGGCUNCGUGCAACCAUGCAGUCGAACGGUGAAGGAGAGCUUGCUCUCCGGAUCAGUGGCGAACGGGUGAGUAACACGUGAGCAACCUGCCCCGGACUCUGGGAUAACAGCUGGAAACAGCUGCUAAUACCGGAUACGAGCUGCGAAGGCAUCUUCAGCAGCUGGAAAGAACUUCGGUCCGGGAUGGGCUCGCGGCCUAUCAGCUAGUUGGUGAGGUAACGGCUCACCAAGGCGUCGACGGGUAGCCGGCCUGAGAGGGUGACCGGCCACACUGGGACUGAGACACGGCCCAGACUCCUACGGGAGGCAGCAGUGGGGAAUAUUGCACAAUGGGCGAAAGCCUGAUGCAGCAACGCCGCGUGAGGGAUGACGGCCUUCGGGUUGUAAACCUCUUUUAGCAGGGAAGAAGCGAAAGUGACGGUACCUGCAGAAAAAGCGCCGGCUAACUACGUGCCAGCAGCCGCGGUAAUACGUAGGGCGCAAGCGUUAUCCGGAAUUAUUGGGCGUAAAGAGCUCGUAGGCGGUCUGUCGCGUCUGCUGUGAAAACCCGAGGCUCAACCUCGGGCCUGCAGUGGGUACGGGCAGACUAGAGUGCGGUAGGGGAGAUUGGAAUUCCUGGUGUAGCGGUGGAAUGCGCAGAUAUCAGGAGGAACACCGAUGGCGAAGGCAGAUCUCUGGGCCGUAACUGACGCUGAGGAGCGAAAGGGUGGGGAGCAAACAGGCUUAGAUACCCUGGUAGUCCACCCCGUAAACGUUGGGAACUAGUUGUGGGGUCCAUUCCACGGAUUCCGUGACGCAGCUAACGCAUUAAGUUCCCCGCCUGGGGAGUACGGCCGCAAGGCUAAAACUCAAAGGAAUUGACGGGGACCCGCACAAGCGGCGGAGCAUGCGGAUUAAUUCGAUGCAACGCGAAGAACCUUACCAAGGCUUGACAUAUAGAGGAAACGGCUGGAAACAGUCGCCCCGGCAAGGUCUCUAUACAGGUGGUGCAUGGUUGUCGUCAGCUCGUGUCGUGAGAUGCUGGGUUAAGUCCCGCAACGAGCGCAACCCUCGUUCUAUGUUGCCAGCACGUAAUGGUGGGAACUCAUGGGAUACUGCCGGGGUCAACUCGGAGGAAGGUGGGGAUGACGUCAAAUCAUCAUGCCCCUUAUGUCUCUGGGCUUCACGCAUGCNUACAAUGGCCNNNNGGUACAAAGGGCUGCAAUACCGUAAGGUGGAGCGAAUCCCAAAAAGCCGGUCCCAGUUCGGAUUGAGGUCUGCAACUCGACCUCAUGAAGUCGGAGUCGCUAGUAAUCGCAGAUCAGCAACGCUGCGGUGAAUACGUUCCCGGGUCUUGUACACACCGCCCGUCAAGUCAUGAAAGUCGGUAACACCUGAAGCCGGUGGCCCAACCCUUGUGGAGGAGCCGUCGAAUGA